GACGAACGCUGGCGGCGUGCUUAACACAUGCAAGUCGAACGGAAAGGCGCCUUUGUGUGUACUCGAGUGGCUGACGGGUGAAUAACACGUUAGUAACCUGCCCUUGACUUCGGGUUAACUUCAGGAAACUGGGGCUAAUACCGGAUAGGAAUCCUUUCUGCAUGGGUGGGGUUGGAAAGCUUCGGCGGUUUUGGAUGGUCUGGCGGGUUAUCAGCUUGUUGGUGGGGUAGUGGCUUACCAAGGCGUUGGCGGGUAGCCGGCCUGAGCGGGCGACCGGCCACAUUGGGACUGAGAUAAGGCCCAGACUCCUACGGGAGGAAGGAGUGGGGAAUAUUGCACAAUGGGCGGGAGCCUGAUGCAGCAAUGCCGCGUGCGGGAUGACGGCCUUCGGGUUGUAGACCGCUUUCAGCAGGGCCGAUGCUUGUGGUGACGGUACCUGCAUAAGAAGCACCGGCUAACUACGUG
rnacentral:rRNA from 1 species